UACGUAGGGUGCGAGCGUUGUCCGGAAUUAUUGGGCGUAAAGGGCUCGUAGGCGGUUUGUCGCGUCGGGAGUGAAAACCUCGGGCUUAACUCGGGGCUUGCUUUCGAUACGGGCAGACUUGAGGCAUGCAGGGGAGAACGGAAUUCCUGGUGUAGCGGUGAAAUGCGCAGAUAUCAGGAGGAACACCGGUGGCGAAGGCGGUUCUCUGGGCAUGUUCUGACGCUGAGGAGCGAAAGUGUGGGGAGCGAACAGG
rnacentral:rRNA from 1 species